GCUUAUCCAAAUAUUUUUUAUAAUUCUUCCUUUUUUCAGAAUCUACAGUUUUUAGUAUGCACAUAUCUCUUCUUUUGCAGCUGCGGUAUUCCUUCUUAGACUACCAUGGAUCAUCAUGCAAAAUGGUUAUUCAGUUUUCAGAAGAAGCAACAGUGAUCUAUCUACCUGGGGAAAUGGAUCAUUGUCCAACUAUGUCAUUUUUUCUGCUCACUAAGAAAUGUAUUUGCAUCAGAAAAAGCAGCAUUCUAAUGAAACUCUAGGAAUCACUAAGAAAUCAUUAGCUAAUUUCUAUCUCUUAUUGGUUCUUACAUUCUUUUAC
rnacentral:lncRNA from 1 species